AUUGAACGCUGGCGGCAGGCCUAACACAUGCAAGUCGAGCGGAUGAAGGGAGCUUGCUCCUGGAUUCAGCGGCGGACGGGUGAGUAAUGCCUAGGAAUCUGCCUGGUAGUGGGGGAUAACGUCCGGAAACGGGCGCUAAUACCGCAUACGUCCUGAGGGAGAAAGUGGGGGAUCUUCUGACCUCACGCUAUCAGAUGAGCCUAGGUCGGAUUAGCUAGUUGGUGGGGUAAAGGCCUACCAAGGCGACGAUCCGUAACUGGUCUGAGAGGAUGAUCAGUCACACUGGAACUGAGACACGGCCCAGACUCCUACGGGAGGCAGCAGUGGGGAAUAUUGGACAAUGGGCGAAAGCCUGAUCCAGCCAUGCCGCGUGUGUGAAGAAGGUCUUCGGAUUGUAAAGCACUUUAAGUUGGGAGGAAGGGCAGUAAGUUAAUACCUUGCUGUUUUGACGUUACCAACAGAAUAAGCACCGGCUAACUUCGUG
rnacentral:rRNA from 1 species